rnacentral:rRNA from 1 species
GUUGAACGCUGGCGGCGUGCUUUACACAUGCAAGUCGAACGGCAGCACGGGAGCAAUCCUGGUGGCGAGUGGCAAACGGGUGAGUAAUACUUCGGAACGUACCUUUUAGUGGGGGAUAACUACUCGAAAGAGUGGCUAAUACCGCAUAUAUCUAUGGAUGAAAGCGGGGUAGCGUAAGACCGCGCGCUAAUUGAGCGGCCGAAGCAAGAUUAGGUAGUUGGUAGGGUAAAGGCCUACCAAGCCUGCGAUCUUUAGCUGGUCUGAGAGGACGAUCAGCCACACUGGGACUAAGACACGGCCCAGACUCCUACGGGAGGCAGCAGUGGGGAAUUUUGGACAAUGGGGGCAACCCUGAUCCAGCAACGCCGCGUGAGUGAAGAAGGCCUUCGGGUUGUAAAGCUCUUUUGUUAGGGAAGAAAUCUUCUAGGCUAAUACCCUGGGAGGAUGACGGUACCUAAAGAAUAAGCACCGGCUAACUACGUGCCAGCAGCCGCGGUAA